GAACGGCCUGCGUCCGAUUAGCUUGUUGGUAGUGUAAUGGACUACCAAGGCGAUGAUCGGUAGCUGGUCUGAGAGGAUGAUCAGCCAGACUGGGACUGAGACACGGCCCAGACUCCUACGGGAGGCAGCAGUAGGGAAUUUUCCACAAUGGGCGAAAGCCUGAUGGAGCAACGCCGCGUGCAGGAUGAAUGCCUUCGGGUUGUAAACUGCUUUUAUUAGUGACGAUUAUGACGGUAACUAAUGAAUAAGGACCUGCUAACUACGUGCCAGCAGCCGCGGUCAUACGUAGGGUCCAGGCGUUAUCCGGAAUUACUGGGCGUAAAGAGUUGCGUAGGUGGCAGAGUAAGUAGAUAGUGAAAGCGUGUGGCUCAACCAUACAUCCAUUAUCUAAACUGUUCAGCUAGAAGACGAGAGAGGUAGAUGGAAUUCCUGAUGUAGGGGUAAUAUCCGUAGAUAUUAGGAGG
rnacentral:rRNA from 1 species